AGAUUGAAAGGGAUCUUUGCAAACACAAUCACGUUCUUAAAUGGAAAUGCGGGGCUUUAAACAAAUCUUACAUCUCUCCGGUUCCAGUCGCCUAAAAGUCCGCAAUCAGGCGCAUGUUCCACUCUUUCUAAAACCGAAGCUUUUUGUAAGCUUUUUCAGGCAUCACUCUUUAUUUUAAUUAUUUACCUGAAUGCAUUUUUUUUUAUCUCACGCGCGUGUUUAUGUUGUUCUCGUCUCUCACAUGGCACUGCUCUCUGUUUGUAGGCUACAGUGGGACGCACUGUACGAUUUAUUGAUUUCAAUCCAUGGACUAGAGCACGAUUUAACGAGUUCCAAACCUUCCAUCUAACUCCGUGACGGGCUUGAAAGCAUCAGGCUUGGGAUGCCUAAGCCCCUUCUCAGCUUCUGUCUACCUGUCUGCUGGGGUGUUGGUGCCUGGGCUUCAACCAUCAGCCCUAACCUGUGUGGCUUCCUGUCCGUCCACAGAGGGACCCAAUCCUCUACUUUGAAUUCAAAGGGGCCUGAAGACAACACAGCUUCACGCAGGCUCAGCAACACACAGGUUAUGACCCCAACAGGACAUACCAUGCCACCCGGCGGGCUGAGUUGUUACACACUACACGUGCGCGCAUGUGUGUGUGUAAGCCACAGGUGGUUGGUGACACCUUAAUUUGGGAGGAUGGGCUCGUGGUUAGAGCUGGAGCAGAAUCAUGGUUUCCAUGUGUUUGAUGUGCUGAGCUGUCCUCCCCUCAGCAGCCUCCGCUGGUGUAAGCAUGUUGCCCCCUGCCGAAUGUCCAUCCGCCCUGCGUCUCCCCCUCAGCCCACCCAUCCUUCCUCUCUACCUAUCCCCCCUUUCAUCCUCUGUCUCUUUUCUUCAUACUGGACCGGAAUAUGAACGCGCAAAUGUUUGCUGUGUUUAAAUAUUUACAUACUGUAGAUUUUAGUAAGAAGACAUGUGGAUUUUCCCGAGUACACAAUUCAAAAUAUGUUUUUUUUAUCAUAGGAGGAUUGUGUCUCUGUUGAAAUUUGGGUACCCCAAAAAAUGAAUUAAAAAAAUCUCUCAGUUUAGAAGAGGUUAGUAGCAGGUGAGGAAAACGUUUUGAAAAAACAAAAGCUGUAGAAUGUAUGUGAAUCAAUGAGAUGUGACUAUUUUCCAUUUGACUAUUGCAUAGUUCUUUGUUGGUAACAUCAAUUGAUACUAUUCACAAUGGAAGACAACAAGUUGAAUGUAACAAUAGUGUACAAACCUACUUAUCAGGCAGCGUAGCCUAGUGGUUAGAGCAUUGGACUGGUAACCAAAAGGUUGCAAGUUCAAAUCCCUGAGUUGACAAGGUUAAAAAUCUGUUGUUUUGCCCAUGAACAGGCAGUUAACCCACUGUUCCUAGGCUGUCAUUGAAAAUAACAAUUUGUUCUUAUUAACUGAUUUGCCUAGUUAAAAAAAAAUAUUGCAUACAUGAGUUAACAUGUGACUAUUUGUCUUUUGGUUUAUUAGUUAUUCUCUUUCUAUAAUCAUGUAAUCAGAUUGAUCCUCGUGUACCAUUAUAGAGGGAUAUUAUUUAAGCUGAAUGUCUUUGCCCUACAGUCCUUUGAGUGUCAAUAAAGGUUCAAGUAGUGGAUUUAACAUGUUCAGACUAUCUUGAUCACAUUUUGUUUUUAAUUUACCUUUAAGAAAUACUGUGCUUAAUAAAAACAUGCAUCAAUAAAAGCCGGGAUAACGAACCAACAACAUGCAGUAUAACAAACCCAUUAAGAAAGUUAAGGUAGACUUCUUACAAUACGUAAUUCCCAGCAGCUGAGAGAGAGAUAGAGAUAGAGAGAGAGACAGAGAC